rnacentral:rRNA from 1 species
GAUGAACGCUGGCGGCGUGCUUAGCACAUGCAAGUCGAACGAUGAAGCUCAGCUUGCUGGGUGGAUUAGUGGCGAACGGGUGAGUAACACGUGAGUAACCUGCCCUUAACUCUGGGAUAAGCCUGGGAAACUAGGUCUAAUACCGGAUAGGAGCGUCCACCGCAUGGUGGGUGUUGGAAAGAUUUAUCGGUUUUGGAUGGACUCGCGGCCUAUCAGCUUGUUGGUGAGGUAAUGGCUCACCAAGGCGACGACGGGUAGCCGGCCUGAGAGGGUGACCGGCCACACUGGGACUGAGACACGGCCCAGACUCCUACGGGAGGCAGCAGUGGGGAAUAUUGCACAAUGGGCGAAAGCCUGAUGCAGCGACGCCGCGUGAGGGAUGACGGCCUUCGGGUUGUAAACCUCUUUCAGUAGGGAAGAAGCGAAAGUGACGGUACCUGCAGAAGAAGCACCGGCUAACUACGUG